CCCUUUUUAACACAAUAAGUUCUUUGAAAAUUUAAUACUUUGAACACAUUCAAUAGCUCCAUAGUUUUUACACAUUUAUUCUAUGUUCCUCUACUUUCCUAAUCACCACAAAUAAUUAAGUUCAGUCAUUUGCUAAAAAUAGAAACAUGUCCAAUAUCACUACACAGAGAUUUUUUCUUUACACGUGACUUUUGAGUUCCUCAUUUCAAGGCGCAUUAGGGAUGUUGUCCCAUAUGUCUUA
rnacentral:lncRNA from 1 species